ensembl:lncRNA
AAUCAAUAGUCACAGUUGCUGCAUUGUGUGGAUAUAACUGGCUUCAGGAAGACUAUCCAACACAAUGUGGUUUGGGAGGAUGUUUGUGUGCAGUCCUGCUGGCAUACCAGUGCUGAGGUGAAAGAUCACCUGAGGAAGGGGGACAGGCCUUCUGUUUUAACAAGAAACCACAUCAGACUCCUAUUCAUUUUGCUUCCUGCCUCUGCUGUAUCCCUUCAAAAGCUGGGAUGUACAGAAUGCUAAAGCUGCAGCAUAAGCAUGAUUGAUACUUAUUGUGGGACUGUGGAAUUGCUACUCUCCUUUCUUCUCUUUAAAAAUCAGGGUGAACAUAUAGAAAGAUAUGCCAUGGACUUCAGGCCAACUUCUUUUCUACCUGAUCUCAACUGAAUCACCAAACACAAGUUUAAGUCAGAGGAAACCCUUCUUAUUGUAUUUCUCUUAUUUUCAUUCAGACCACAUUAUCUAAACUUAUGCGGAGUGAUUUCUAACCUGAACUGCCAUGCUUGCCUCUGGAGGAAAAAGGCCUCAGAAGCAUCUUGAUAAAUUGAUGUACAUCUAUGUAUGAUAUGCACUUUAUGCAAUGUAAGUAGGAAGAACAAGUGUAACUCAUGCAAAUUAUGACUCCUGAGUCUAAUCUAAAUUGGUGGAACCAUCAAUGCAACUGGACAGCUAGAAGGGGGAUGGAGUUGCUUAACGCAUCCAGGUGUCUUUGUUGCUGCAACUCAGCUACGAAGGACACAGCAUUAAGUGCAAAAUUUCUGGAUAAAGAGCUGUGGACCUGGUUCCUCUAAUGAAGAUUCUCAUUACAGAAAAUGCCUUCAUCUGAGUUGGAAAACAAAUACAAAAAACAGAACCUGUUCAACCAGGCUUGUGGAUAACACUGAUGAUGCUCUGUUUCGAUGAGAUGACAUAACUUACUGCCACAGCAGCCUCAGAAUCUUCUGUUCAUGUCUAAUGACGAGACAAAAUACAGCUCUGCCUUAUUAACUGAAACUUGCAUACAUCCAAAAUCAGCUUAAAUUUCUCAACAGAAAUCUUAGCAGCUCUGUGUACCAAACCUCUUUCUGUUGCCUGC